AAAAUCUAGAAUUUGUCUGGAAUUUACAUAUCACAGGACCAGAAACCUUGAUGGCAGUGGCUGAGAUGACUUCACUUGUUUCAGUACAUAUUACUGAGAGGAUUAGCAAACAGGAGGGUCCUGAAGGUGGAGGAGAGAUUGGAGGGAGAAAUGAGAGGAAGGAUGAAGAAAGGGACAGCUAGCAGGGUUGAAGCCCGACUUUGUUGACUUCCCACUCUCCCCUGGGAUCAGCCUCUGUUUAUCUUCAACUGCGCCCUGGCAAAGGAAAGCUAUGGACCAAGGAACUGGUCAGCAACUACAACUCAAUGAAUAAACAAUUGCAAAAGCCCCAAGCAACAGGACUGUCAAUAUGGUCAUCAGUGAAGCGUGAAGAAUCUGAAUCUUGUUUUUCAUAAAUUACUUAAAUCAUUUUUGUUCUUUGAUAUAUUUGCUUCAUACUAAUUCAUACCAUCAUAUUCUCCCCAUGCAUGAUGCAUCUGUAAAUUGGAAAAACCGUUUUAUCUUGAAAGUAGGAUGUCACCGUAAACAAGUUAUCAUCAGUUAAAUUGAGCCACCUACUAUGCCAGUAAUUUCCUUAAUUUAUUUAGAAAAUGCAUUCAGCACAUAAAGAUCCCCAGGUUCAAAUACAAAGAAUUGAAAGAAGUGAAUAUUUAAAGCAAUGAUGGGACAAUUUCCCAGGAUACUGAGUCUUUCUGAGUCAUAUUAAUAAAGCUUUGCCUUAAUAAGACAAAUAAAUUAAAAGA